UACGGAGGGUGCAAGCGUUAAUCGGAAUUACUGGGCGUAGAGCGUGCGCAGGCGGUUUGUUAAGUCCGCUGUGAAAUCCCCGAGCUCAACUUGGGAAUUGCAGUGGAUACUGGCAAGCUGGAGUAUGGUAGAGGAAGGUGGAAUUCCCGGUGUAGCAGUGAAAUGCGUAGAGAUCGGGAGGAACACCAGUGGCGAAGGCGGCCUUCUGGACCAAUACUGACGCUCAUGCACGAAAGCGUGGGGAGCAAACAGG
rnacentral:rRNA from 1 species